UGAUAGCGUUGAAGCGAGAGGUUGCCGCCCACAAAGUGAGGCGGGUUUUCCGUGGAGCGAAUGUCAAGUUAGGAAACUGGCGACAA
rfam:Clostridium sp. FS41 CLFS41_contig000080, whole genome shotgun sequence.